AUACGGGAGGCAGCAGUGGGGAAUAUUGCACAAUGGGGGAAACCCUGAUGCAGCAACGCCGCGUGAGUGAUGAAGGUUUUCGGAUCGUAAAACUCUGUCUUUGGGGACGAUAAUGACGGUACCCAAGGAGGAAGCCACGGCUAACUACGUGCCAGCAGCCGCGGUAAUACGUAGGUGGCAAGCGUUGUCCGGAUUUACUGGGCGUAAAGGGAGCGUAGGUGGAUUUUUAAGUGAGAUGUGAAAUACUCGGGCUCAACCCGAGAACUGCAUUUCAAACUGGAAAUCUAGAGUGCAGGAGAGGAAAGUGGAAUUCCUAGUGUAGCGGUGAAAUGCGUAGAUAUUAGGAAGAACACCAGUGGCGAAGGCGACUUUCUGGACUGUAACUGACACUGAGGCUCGAAAGCGUGGGGAGCAAACAGGAUUAGAUACCCGUGUAGUCCC
rnacentral:rRNA from 1 species